rnacentral:lncRNA from 1 species
CCCGCGGGGGCGGCGGCGGCAGGUGCACCCCGCCCGGGAGCUUCCCGGGACUCGGAUGCGGAGCAGCAUCCCCCGGGGACCCGGCGCCCCGGGCGGCCGCGGUGUGGGGCUGACCCACGGGAAGAAAGCUCCCGGGGCGAUGCUCAGUGAUUCAAGGUUGCACCCCCCGCCCCCCAAACGCUCCCGAAUAUUUCGGAUCCCGCGUGUCUCCCUCCCUGCGAUGAAGCAGCAGGUCCCAGUUGUGGUCGGUGGCAUCUCCCCCACACCGACAAGGACCCCAUUAAGACAGAUCAAUUAGACCAGACGCUGGAAGAAGCAUCGGAAAACCGGCUUGGAGACGGCGCAGAGGUUCUUGAGAUCAUUACACAGUUGCCAGCAGAAGCCUUUCCCGGCAGGAAUGCUGUGAUCCCGGUUCAGCAGGCUUUGUGCUCGGGUGUUGGAGAGCCACGAGCCACCCAGAAGCAGAUUCCGAGGCUGGCAAGCACCACCAAGUGGCAGAAGAACAUCACUCACCAGCAGAGUGUCGUGCAAAUACAUACGUUAUUCAGCCUCAUUAUCAGCCCCGCAGAAACAGACAGGAGUUGUGUUUUGGGGGCAGUGAGGAUCAGAUUAGUGAUGGGAUGAGGGUUUCAACUCCCUCCACCCCCACCCCUGACAGAGUCCAACCAGUUUACUCAUUAGAACUGAAUUAAAAACUAGGUCUACAAAUUGCACUUUGCACCGUGCAUUAUGUGAAUACCAGCCAUACAGUCCAGUUGGCUCAUGCAUUUGCAAAAUUUCUCAUUUUAAAAGUGUACAGAAUAUUUGCUUUCAAUAUCUCUUAGCUUAGAACAGUUUUGUUUUUUUGUUUGUUUGUUUUUGUUUUGUUUUGUUUGAGACAUACACACUCUAGAAUCGUCUUGGAGGGGGUAGAGUCAAGUCGUAUUUUUUUUUUUAUGAUUUUAUUUAUUUAUUCAUGAGAGACACACACAGAGAGAGAGAGAGGCAGAGACACAGGUAGGGGGAGAAGCAGGCUCCAUGCAGGGAGCCAGACGUGGGACUUGAUCCCAGGUCACUGGGGUCACGCCCUGGGCUGAAGGCGGCGCUCAACCGCUGAGCCACUGGGCGGCCAGUAUUUUUAAGUAGAAAUAGCCCAGAGAUUUUUUCCCAUGGAACUUUUUAAAAAAGUUUUUCCCCCUCUGUGGAAAGGUCAUUGAUAAGAACCGUGAGGUUACUCAGAGCGUUAAUGGGGGUGCAGUUGAGAGAAGGGGGGGGAAGUGUUUCUAGAACAAAAAUAAUUUAAGAUAAAUAAAUGAACCUGAAAAAAUAAGACCCUGCCAAUCAGACCUCUAUCUCCUUUCUGAUCUCUACUACUUUCGGAUGUUUCAAUAACGGUAAGAUACAUAGUGCGCUUAAGUGUCGUGCAGGGGGGAACACCUUUUUCAUCCCCACGAAACCCCUAUGAGACAAAGAAUUCCUUAUCUCCAUUUUAUAGAAAAGACACAUAGCUUUCAAAGUAUCAGGGGACUUGGCCAGUGUAACAAACCUGGCCAGUGGCACAGCUAGGACUCAGCACAGUUUUGUCUGAGGUCAGAGCUCAAAACCUCUAUCACCAUUGUCUGCUGCACCACGAUUACCUUUCAGCCUCUGAAAAAGGGAACCAACCAGGAAUGUAUUAAUUCUGUCCAUGCAGUCUCUGUCUGCAGAGUACCAGUAAGACCCAAACAUUAAAUCUCAACCCUGAGCAAUCAGAUGUAGUGGUUUCCAUACUUGCAAAUCUUAUGAAUUAAUUCAUACGAAUUACUUAUAAAGCCUUUUAAAAGAUAGACAAAUUCCAGGUCUCACUAGCAGGGAUGUUAAUUCAGAAAGUUUGGAGUUGGACCAUGGAAACUAUAUUUUAAUACUCAUCCUUGUUUGAGAACAGAGGUCUACAUAUAGGUCUACACCUAUAUGACAAAUGAAAGGAUAUCUAGAUUCUUGCCCAGUUUUCACAGAACUUUUGGUAGAGAAGUUUCUAAGACAAGGGUUUAUUCUAAAAAAAAUAAUAAUAAUAAGAUGGGAAGGAUGCCUGGCUAGCUCAGUCCAGUAGAGCAUGAGACUCUUAAUCUCCAGGUCUUGAGUUUGAGCCCCAUGUUGGGCAUACAGAUUACUUACAAAAAUUUUUUUUAAAGAUAAAGUCUUAUACUCAGUGUGUAGAUGAGCUGUUAUACACAUCUGUCUCUAUAGCUCUAAUUAUUGAAUUUCCUUAUGCAUAUAUUUACCAAAUAUGUAAUAUGCAUCUAUUAUGUCUGACUUAGUAGUUUUGUGACCAUGGACAGUUGCCUCAUUUGUAAAAUAGAGGUAAUAAAACCUACCUCCAAGUGUUUUUCUGAAGAUUAAGGGAGAUAUAACAUGUGAUAUAAUGAUAAUGGGAUGAAUAUAUAUAUAUUCAUUAUAUAUAUAUUCAUUCAUUAUAUAUAUUUAUAUACAUAUGGGAUGAAUCCUUAUAUAAAUGAAUGAAUGAAUACCUAAAUACAUAUGUAUGUAGUCAGCUAUGUAUUUAUAUAAUAUAAUCAUAUAUAAAUAUAUAAUCAA